GGCAGUGUCAUUCCUCCUGUCCACUACCCCAACUUCUACUCCCAACACUACCACAACAAUGAGCAGUCUGGUGUGGUGGCUGAGGAUUCUUUUGAAGAGGACAAUGCUUCUGCUUCAUCUGAGCAGCUUGAAGCUGCCUGCAGAAAUAGGCAAAACAGCAACUGACGAAAGAAUAAAGUUGAAGGAAACUGGAGUUUCCCUGCAAAACAAGCUAUCAAGAAGACCUAUACAAUUCAAAGUGUCUGGCUAAGAGUUGGAGAUCUGGCAGAGAAGCUGUGGCCAGAGGAAGGAGGCUUGGCUGCUGCACCAGACCCAUAGACCACAUCUUUGGAGUGGCUUUGGCCUUGAGGUGCAGCCAGGUAGCUGUAGCUCAC